AUGCUGCUGCUGGCAGCGCUCAUGGCCACAACCGCUUGGAUUUAUGGAGUUGCACAAGAAAUUCCCGUGCAGAGGCCUUUAUCCAUCACGAAGUUCCGAAGAAGUGCACGCAUGUCAUGCGAAAUUCAAUCAUUAGGGGCAAGUUUUGACAGCACCGUCAUACACUGGUAUCAACAGAAAGAGGGAAAAGCUCCAGAGAGGCUCCUGUUUUUUUCAGGGGGGAAAGCUUCGCUUGAAAGUGGCUUUCAAGAAGACAGAUACAUGGUUGAAAAGGUUUCUGGCAAGAACCAGUGUGUUCUUACAAUAAAAGAUGUCAUUCCAGAUGACACCGCUACUUACUACUGUGCCUACUGGGACCCUCACUGUGGUAGAAACGCAAAGAUCGUCGAGGCAAAAAACCUCCCUCAGUGUCUGAACCACAGGCUGCUAACUCUGCCGCUCCCUCCGUCUCCUCGCUCCAUCUGA